AUUGAACGCUGGCGGCAUGCCUUACACAUGCAAGUCGAACGGUAACGGGCCUUCGGAGGCCGACGACUGACCAACGGCUGAGUAAUCAAUCAGAACGCACCCUUCAGUGGGGGAGAACGUAGCCAAAGUUACCCCAAUAACUACCAUCCCGCCCGCAGGCAAGAAGGAUAUCGCCAGACCUUGCGCUGAUUGAGCGGCCGAUGUCAGAUUAGCUAGUGGGUGAGGUAAAGGCUCACCAAGGCGACAAUCUGUAGCGGGUCUGAGAGGAUGAUCCGCCACACUGGGACUGAGACACGGCCCAGACUCCGACGGGAGGCAGCAGUGGGGAAUCUUAGACAAUGGGGGAAACCCUGAUCUAGCCAUGCCGCGUGAUCGAUGAAGGCCUUAGGGUUGUAAAGAUCUUUCAGUGGGGAAGAUAAUGACUGUACCCACAGAAGAAGCCCCGGCUAACUCCGUGCCAGCCGCCGCGGUAAAAC
rnacentral:rRNA from 1 species